ensembl:lncRNA
CGGCGAAAGUUUCUUUGUGGCCUUUUUUGGAGGGAGCUAGUGGGGGCUUCUCGCCGAAGGUGGAGAACGAGCCCUGCGAGUGAGGACGUGACACCCCGCCCCCAUAGAUGGCAGGGAGGCACUUGAUAAACUCGCCUGAGCCAGGUGUGGGGGUGGAAGCAGCAUUCCAUUGCAGCAACGUCUGCUCCCAGAUCAGACUCAGCUGGGGUUCCAGAGGGGAGAUGCUGAAAACGGGGAAGGAAAAGGAGCAAUCUAAAACCAGAGUGCCUCUGGUGCUGGUGGGAGGAGAAUAUCCCAAGGAGCCGGAGCCCCCCCUGAGAUGAAGAGCCAGGCGCCCCUUGGGGACCCCGAGAAAGAGCAACAAGUAGUCCCCUCCGCCGCAGAGCUAUCAGGAGAGUCUGUAUCUGAAGAAGGAAGACAGCUGGGGUUCCAGAUCCAAACUGAGAAGAGUGUCCGACGCACUCUGAGGCAGCACGUGGCAUUAAAUUGGUGGGUUAUUCACCGUGGGAGCUCAAAAGACAGAAGCAUCACCUGAGAAAACUACAGAAGCCAGUCCACACAGUGUGGACUUUGGGGGCUCAGCUGCCAGUUGGUCUGAGCCCUGGAAUGGACUUGCUGUGUGGCCUUGGGAAAACCAUGUAGCCUCUCUGUUCUGUUUGUUUGUGCUAAAUCAUUGCUGAGGCUUCCUCCUGCACCAGUUUUCCAUUGCCGCUGUGAGUGGACAUGAGUCUUGACCAAAUCAUAAGUGCCUAGUUACUGGGAUAAAAAUGAGUUAGAAUCUGGGAUUCUGGUCCUUAACCCCGUGUCACCAUCUGCUGGAGCAGUGUGAUGACAGGGCCAGGUGAAUCAGAGUCACCCAACACUUGUUAUACACGCAGAUUCCUGCUCUGCUCCCUCUCCCACUACCCAUGCCCCACUGAGUCCAAACCUCGAGGGCGGGGCCUAGAAGGCCCCCUUCCUUUAUGGGUUCAUGGAGGGCAGAACAGCGACCCCACCCGGAGCCAGCCAUGCAUCAGUAGCUCUUCCUAUGUAUCAGGCAUGCCAAGGUGGUUUCUGGAAUCUUGUGCUUGUAUUUCCCUCUGCCUAGAAAGAUUUCCCAUAUGGCUGGUUUCUUCUCAUGUGUCACCUGCUCAGAGAGGCCUUGGCUGGCCUCCCCGUCUCUACUCACUAUCCCAUCACGUGUUUCCUUUUCUUCUCAGCACUGUCAUUUUCUGAAGUUCAUCUCAUCUCCUUGUAAAUUAUCUGUUGCUCCUACUGGAACAUAGACCUCCCAUCCCCCCCCACCCCGACUCCCACCCCCAGGGGCAGAAACCCUGCCUGGCUUAUUGGAGGCUAUACCCCAGCACGAGGCCCAUGGGAGGUGCUCAGUAAUAUAAGAAUUCAUGAAUAAAUGGACACUGGAGGAAUCCUCUUAUCUCUGAUGCUGAAGAUGCUUCUCUGAGAUGCAAGAAUGGACACCCUCUCCCUACCCUGGGGGACCUAGGCCUGCCCUGGGCGCGGUUUCUGAGGAAGACGAGGGGCACCUCCUGCCUCCCCACCAUGACCAUUGCUUCCCCAGCACCCAGAGAAGACCUCAGUGGAGCCAGAGCCGCGCAUCCAGCAGAGUCUCAGCUGGGGUUAUAGGACAGGAAAACCUUGACUUCAGGGGCUGUGGACUAAGUUCUCCUUACUUCAUCGUCUCCAAAACCAUGGGUGCCAGUGAAGCUGAGGUUAGAUGUGAACUGAGUGCUGCUUACCCACCAGAUCUUCCCUGCCGCCUGACUUUGACUGGACGGCUGACCUUGACACUUCCCAUACAAGCUUCUCUCUACUUUGCUAACCUGAUAGAACAAUGAUGUCAUAAAGAAACAAAUAGUAGGUGUUUAAUAAAUGCUUGCCAGUGUGAAAUAAGGAAGACAAUUGCAUGAGGACCUCCAAACUCUUCCUUACCCUCCAUCUAUUUAUUGAUAACCAUAAAUUAGUUUGUAAGAAAACAACAUGAAAUAAAAGUAAUAACUGAGGGAAACAGGAUGGAGCGAAAAAGGAGCAAUGCAUUUAUGUUUAUAAUCUUUUUCUCCGCAUCGAUACGCAUCCUACUAUAAAUUCAUUACGCGUGUUUUCAUGUGUCCAGCCCUGUGGUGGAGGCUAUGCAGGAUGCAGAAGAUGUGCAGAGCCUAGCCCCUGUGCUCAUGGAGCUUUUCGUCUCAUGGGAAAGGCAUUAAUAAAGUCUUCCAUCUGUGUCACCCUCUCUAACAGGCAUUAUCCUGUUUGCAUCUCAGGAGCAGAAGAGGGAUCAGCAUUUCCUUGAUAUGAAGGAGGAAACUGAGCCUUAGAGGGUUGAAGGACCUGAGGAGACAGCAGGGGGAUUGGGGCUCAAGUCCCAGUGUCCUGACUCCAGGUUUCGUGUUCUUCCCACUCUGCCGUUAUUCUCAUCCAGCUUCCUCUGCAGACACUUCAUAGAGCUGUGACACGGGAAGCAGCGUGGCAGUGCCUCAUCGACUGGCCGUGACAAGGAGAAUUGACUCUCGGGAUAAGGAAAUCAAUGAGGGCUGAGGAGAGCAGCAAGGAAGGAGAGUAGAAGAUGGAGCUGGAGGAAACUGUAGGACUUGGCCAGAGGCCUAUCGAGGGAGAGCCUUCCAGACUCCGCGGGUCCUUGUGUGUGUCGUCCAAAGGGCCACAGAAAAGCCACCAGACACUGUGUUUUCAAGAGCUUAUGGAAGCAGUGAGAACGAGGUAAAUGUAUUCUCCCUCUAUCUCUGUAUAUGCAAAUACA